rnacentral:rRNA from 1 species
GUUACAGCCGCCGCGGUAAUACGGAGGAUGCGAGCGUUAUCCGGAUUUAUUGGGUUUAAAGGGUGCGUAGGCGGAUUGGUAAGUCAGUGGUGAAAUACUGCAGCUUAACUGUAGAAUUGCCGUUGAUACUGUCAGUCUUGAGUAUGGUUAAGGUAGGCGGAAUGUGUAAUGUAGCGGUGAAAUGCUUAGAUAUUACACAGAACACCGAUUGCGAAGGCAGCUUACUGAACCAUAACUGACGCUGAGGCACGAAAGCGUGGGGAGCGAACAGGAUUAGAAACCCGAGUAGUCC